rnacentral:rRNA from 1 species
AACACAUGUAAGUCGAGGGGCAGCAUGACACGGAGAUUCGUCGAAGUGUUGAUGGCGACCGGCGCAAGGGUGCGUAACGCGUGAGCAACUUGCCCGUUUCUGGGGGAUAACCGUUGGAAACGACGACUAAUACCCCCAUAGUAUCAGAUGGAGGCAUCUUCAUCUGAUUAAAGAAAUUCGGAUAAGGAUAGGCUCGCGUGACAUUAGCUAGACGGCGGGGUAACGGCCCACCGUGGCUACGAUGUCUAGGGGUUCUGAGAGGAAGGUCCCCCACACUGGAACUGAGACACGGUCCAGACUCCUACGGGAGGCAGCAGUGAGGAAUAUUGGUCAAUGGUCUGACGACUGAACCAGCCAUGCCGCGUGAAGGUCACGGCCCUAUGGGUCUUAAACUUCUUUUGUAAGGGAGCAAUAAGUCUCACGUGUGGGAUGAUGAGAGUACCUUACGAAUAAGCAUCGGCUAACUCCGUG